rnacentral:piRNA from 1 species
GUAGGCGCUGUGCUGUGUAAGCG